rnacentral:rRNA from 1 species
AUGCAAGUCGAACGAGAUUUUUUCCUGUAGCAAUACAGGGAAAAGUCUAGUGGCGAACGGGUGCGUAACACGUGGGCAAUCUGCCUUAAAGUGGGGGAUAGCUCGGCGAAAGCCGAAUUAAUACCGCAUGUGAUCAGGGGAGACAUCUUCCCGAAAUCAAAAGUGGCGCAAGCUACUGCUUUUUGAGGAGCCCGCGGCCUAUCAGCUAGUUGGUGAGGUAACGGCUCACCAAGGCUUUGACGGGUAGCUGGUCUGAGAGGACGACCAGUCACACUGGAACUGAGACACGGUCCAGACACCUACGGGUGGCAGCAGUCGAGAAUUUUUCUCAAUGGGGGAAACCCUGAAGGAGCGACGCCGCGUGGAGGAUGAAGGUCUUCGGGUUGUAAACUCCUGUCAUUUGGGAACAAGUGCCGGUACGUAACUGCUGCCGGCUUGAUAGUACCAGAAGAGGAAGAGACGGCUAACUCUGUGCCAGCAGCCGCGGUAAUACAGAGGUCUCAAGCGUUGUUCGGAUUCAUUGGGCGUAAAGGGUGUGUAGGUGGCGCCGUAAGUCGGGUGUGAAAUUUCGGAGCUUAACUCCGAAACUGCAUUCGAUACUGCGGUGCUUGAGGACUGGAGAGGAGACUGGAAUUCAUGGUGUAGCAGUGAAAUGCGUAGAGAUCAUGAGGAAGACCAGUG